CCCUGCCAUUUGUACACACCGCCCGUCGCUACUACCGAUUGAAUGGUUUAGUGAGGCCUCGGGACUGGCGCACAGCGCGCUGGCAACAGCACUCUCGCGCCGGGAACUUGGUCAAACUUGAUCAUUUAGAGGAA
rnacentral:rRNA from 1 species